AUGCACGCUGGCGGCGUGCCUCAUACAUGCCAGUCGAGCGCACAGACGAGGAGCUUGCUCCUCUGACGUUAGCGGCGGACGGGUGAGUAACACGUGGAUAACCUACCUAUAAGACUGGGAUAACUUCGGGAAACCGGAGCUAAUACCGGAUAAUAUAUUGAACCGCAUGGUUCAAUAGUGAAAGACGGUUUUGCUGUCACUUAUAGAUGGAUCCGCGCCGCAUUAGCUAGUUGGUAAGGUAACGGCUUACCAAGGCGACGAUGCGUAGCCGACCUGAGAGGGUGAUCGGCCACACUGGAACUGAGACACGGUCCAGACUCCUACGGGAGGCAGCAGUAGGGAAUCUUCCGCAAUGGGCGAAAGCUUGACGGAGCAACGCCGCGUGAGUGAUGAAGGUCUUCGGAUCGUAAAACUCUGUUAUUAGGGAAGAACAAAUGUGUAAGUAACUAUGCACGUCUUGACGGUACCUAAUCAGAAAGCCACGGCUAACUACGUG
rnacentral:rRNA from 1 species